GAUGAACGCUGACAGAAUGCUUAACACAUGCAAGUCUUUGGCGAAGCUGUGCUUGCACAGCCUAGCCAAGGCGGACGGGUGAGUAACGCGUAAGGAACUUGCCCUGCAGUCAGGGAUAACAGACGGAAACGACUGAUAAGACCUGGUAAAGUCAGGCGGACUCAUGUCCAGCCUGAUGAAAAGUGAUGCUGCAGGAGAGCCUUGCGUCCUAUUAGCUUGUUGGUGGGGUAACGGCCCACCAAGGCGAUGAUAGGUAGCCGGCCUGAGAGGGUGGACGGCCACAAGGGGACUGAGAUACGGCCCUUACUCCUACGGGAGGCAGCAGUGGGGAAUAUUGGACAAUGGGGGCAACCCUGGUCCAGCAAUUCUGUGUGCACGAUGAAGGUUUUCGGAUUGUAAAGUGCUUUCAGCAGGGAAGAAAAAAAUGACGGUACCUGCAGAAGAAGCGACGGCUAAAUACGUG
rnacentral:rRNA from 1 species